UUGAAUUGAAGAGUUUGAUCAUGGCUCAGAUUGAACGCUGGCGGCAGGCUUAACACAUGCAAGUCGAACGGUAGCAGGAGAAAGCUUGCUUUCUUGCUGACGAGUGGCGGACGGGUGAGUAAUGCUUGGGAAUCUGGCUUAUGGAGGGGGAUAACGACGGGAAACUGUCGCUAAUACCGCGUAUUAUCGGAAGAUGAAAGUGCGGGACUGAGAGGCCGCAUGCCAUAGGAUGAGCCCAAGUGGGAUUAGGUAGUUGGUGGGGUAAAGGCCUACCAAGCCUGCGAUCUCUAGCUGGUCUGAGAGGAUGACCAGCCACACUGGA
rnacentral:rRNA from 1 species